GAGUUUGAUCGUGGCUCAGAGCGAACGCUGGCGGCGUGUUUAAGACAUGCAAGUCGCACGGGGGAAUUGAGUAGCAAUACGAGAUUCUUCAGUGGCGCACGGGUGAGUAACACGUGAAUUACAUGCCCUUCAGUGGGGGAUAGCCCAGGGAAACUUGGAUUAAUACCCCAUGGUAUCGCGAGAUUAAAGGCGGCCGCAAGGCUGUCGCUGAAGGAUUGGUUCGCGCCCUAUCAGCUUGUUGGUGAGGUAACGGCUCACCAAGGCUACGACGGGUACCUGGUCUGAGAGGACGAUCAGGCACACUGGAACUGAGACACGGUCCAGACACCUACGGGUGGCAGCAGUCGAGAAUAAUUCACAAUGGGGGCAACCCUGAUGGUGCAACGCCGCGUGGAGGAUGAAGGUCUUCGGAUUGUAAACUCCUGUCAUCGGGAGUAAGACCUGGCUGUGAAUAGCAGACA
rnacentral:rRNA from 1 species